UCCUACGGGAGGCAGCAGUGGGGAAUAUUGCACAAUGGGCGCAAGCCUGAUGCAGCCAUGCCGCGUGUAUGAAGAAGGCCUUCGGGUUGUAAAGUACUUUCAGUCGUGAGGAAGGGGGUAUCGUUAAUAGCGGUAUUCUUUGACGUUAGCGACAGAAGAAGCACCGGCUAACUCCGUGCCAGCAGCCGCGGUAAUACGGAGGGUGCGAGCGUUAAUCGGAAUUACUGGGCGUAAAGCGCAUGCAGGUGGUUUGUUAAGUCAGAUGUGAAAGCCCGGGGCUCAACCUCGGAGUUGCAUUUGAAACUGGCAGGCUAGAGUACUGUAGAGGGGGGUAGAAUUUCAGGUGUAGCGGUGAAAUGCGUAGAGAUCUGGAGGAAUACCGGUGGCGAAGGCGGCCCCCUGGACAAAGACUGACGCUCAGGUGCGAAAGCGUGGGGAGCAAACAGGAUUAGAUACCCUGGUAGUCCA
rnacentral:rRNA from 1 species